GGAAUUUUAUUCUGGAUCAGGUGA
rnacentral:piRNA from 1 species